AUUGAACGCUGGCGGCAGGCCUAACACAUGCAAGUCGAGCGGAUGAAGGGAGCUUGCUCCUGGAUUCCGCGGCGGACGGGUGAGUAAUGCCUAGGAAUCUGCCUGGUAGUGGGGGAUAACGUCCGGAAACGGGCGCUAAUACCGCAUACGUCCUGAUGGUGAAAGUGGGGGAUCUUCGGACCUCACGCUAUUAGAUGAGCCUAGGACGGAUUAGCUAGUUGGUGGGGUAAAGGCCUACCAAGGCGACGAUCCGAAACUGGUCUGAGAGGAUGAUCAGUCACACUGGAACUGAGACACGGUCCAGACUCCUACGGGAGGCAGCAGUGGGGAAUAUUGGACAAUGGGCGAAAGCCUGAUCCAGCCAGGCCGCGUGUGUGAAGAAGGUCUUCGGAUUGUAAAGCACUGUAAGUUGGGAGGAAGGGCAGUAAGUUAAUACCUUGCUGUUUUGACGUUACCAAAAGAAUAAGCACCGGCUAACUUCGUG
rnacentral:rRNA from 1 species